rnacentral:rRNA from 1 species
AACGAACGCUGGCGGCAGGCUUAACACAUGCAAGUCGAACGGAUCCUUCGGGAUUAGUGGCAGACGGGUGAGUAACGCGUGGGAACGUACCCUUUGCUACGGAAUAACUCAGGGAAACUUGAGCUAAUACCGUAUGUGCCCUACGGGGAAAGAUUUAUCGGCAAAGGAUCGGCCCGCGUUGGAUUAGCUAGUUGGUGGGGUAAUGGCCUACCAAGGCGACGAUCCAUAGCUGGUCUGAGAGGAUGAUCAGCCACACUGGGACUGAGACACGGCCCAGACUCCUACGGGAGGCAGCAGUGGGGAAUAUUGGACAAUGGGCGCAAGCCUGAUCCAGCCAUGCCGCGUGAGUGAUGAAGGUCUUAGGAUUGUAAAGCUCUUUCACCGGUGAAGAUAAUGACGGUAGCCGGAGAAGAAGCCCCGGCUAACUUCGUG